ACGCUGGCGGCGUGCCUAAUACAUGCAAGUCGAACGAGAGCGACCGGUGCUUGCACUGGUCAAUCUAGUGGCGAACGGGUGAGUAACACGUGGGUAACCUGCCCAUCAGAGGGGGAUAACAUUCGGAAACGGAUGCUAAAACCGCAUAGGUUCUUGAGUCGCAUGAUUCGAGAAGGAAAAGAGGCUUCGGCUUCUGCUGAUGGAUGGACCCGCGGUGCAUUAGCUAGUUGGUGAGGUACGGCUCACCAAGGCCGUGAUGCAUAGCCGACCUGAGAGGGUGAUCGGCCACAUUGGGACUGAGACACGGCCCAAACUCCUACGGGAGGCAGCAGUAGGGAAUCUUCCGCAAUGGACGCAAGUCUGACGGAGCAACGCCGCGUGAGUGAAGAAGGAUUUCGGUUCGUAAAACUCUGUUGUUAGAGAAGAACAGCGCAUAGAGUAACUGUUAUGCGUGUGACGGUAUCUAACCAGAAAGCCACGGCUAACUACGUGCCAGCAGCCGCGGUAAUACGUAGGUGGCAAGCGUUGUCCGGAUUUAUUGGGCGUAAAGCGAGCGCAGGCGGUCAAUUAAGUCUGAUGUGAAAGCCCCCGGCUCAACCGGGGAGGGUCAUUGGAAACUGGUUGACUUGAGUGCAGAAGAGGAGAGUGGAAUUCCAUGUGUAGCGGUGAAAUGCGUAGAUAUAUGGAGGAACACCAGUGGCGAAGGCGACUCUCUGGUCUGUAACUGACGCUGAGGCUCGAAAGCGUGGGUAGCAAACAGGAUUAGAUACCCUGGUAGUCCACGCCGUAAACGAUGAGUGCUAAGUGUUGGAGGGUUUCCGCCCUUCAGUGCUGCAGUUAACGCAUUAAGCACUCCGCCUGGGGAGUACGACCGCAAGGUUGAAACUCAAAGGAAUUGACGGGGACCCGCACAAGC
rnacentral:rRNA from 1 species